rnacentral:rRNA from 1 species
UACGUAGGGGGCAAGCGUUGUUCGGAAUUACUGGGCGUAAAGCGCGUGUAGGCGGUUGCCCAAGUCGGGUGUGAAAGCCUUGAGCUCAACUCAAGAAAUGCACUCGGUACUGGGUGACUAGAGGACCGGAGAGGAUAGUGGAAUUCCCAGUGUAGUGGUGAAAUACGUAGAGAUUGGGAAGAACACCAGUGGCGAAGGCGGCUAUCUGGACGGUUUCUGACGCUAAGACGCGAAAGCGUGGGGAGCAAACGGG